UGGGGUGCGGUUUGUGUUCCCGACCUCGU
rnacentral:sRNA from 1 species